UACGUAGGCAGCGAGCGUUGUUCGGAGUUACUGGGCGUAAAGAGCGCGUAGGCGGCGCGGUACGACCGCUGUGAAAGCCCCCAGCUCAACUGGGGAGGGUCAGCGGUAACGGCCGUGCUUUGAGUGCAGGAGAGGGAAGUGGAACUCCGGGAGUAGCGGUGAAAUGCGUAGAGACCCGGAGGAACACCAGUGGCGAAGGCGGCUUCCUGGUCUGCGACUGACGCUGUGGCGCGAAAGCUAGGGGAGCAAACGGG
rnacentral:rRNA from 1 species